GACGAACGCUGGCGGCGUGCUUAACACAUGCAAGUCGAACGACGUGGCGAACGGGUGAGUAACGCGUAAUCAACCUGCCCUUCAGAGGGGGACAACAGUUGGAAACGACUGCUAAUACCGCAUACUGAAGGUGGGGAUUGCGUCUGAUUAGCUAGGUGGAGGGGUAACGGCCCACCAAGGUGAUGAUCAGUAGCCGGUCUUGGAGGAUGGACGGCCAAAUUGGGACUGGGACACGGCCCCGACUCCGUCGGGAGGCAGCAAUGGGGAAUCUUCCGCAAUGGACGAAAGUCUGACGGAGCAACGCCGCGUGAGGGAUGACGGCCUUCGGGUUGUAAAGCUCUGUUAAGCGGGACGCGGUACCGGAAUAGAAAGCCACGGCUAACUACGUGCCAGCAGCCGCGGUAAUUC
rnacentral:rRNA from 1 species